GUUUUGCCCUUUUCUUUCUUCGGGAUCUGCUAUUUUUUUUAUCUAUUUUUAUUUUUUAAUAUGUCCCAUAUAAUUCAGUACUAGCGGUAUUUCAACUAAAACCAAAAAACAUAUAAAUACCGGCGGAUUUAUCAUAAGAAAAAGAAGUUCAUCAAAUUCGAAGCUCUAGAAGCAGACAAAACCCAAUUACAGAACCCCAAAAACACACAAAUUAAACCCCAAAAUGAAAACAAAAGAAGUGUUGUGGUGAAUGGUGAAUGGUGAAUGAUCAGUAACGCUGUUGCUCUCUCUCUUGCUCCCCUCUUUUUCCUUAGUGGGCCAUCUUUUUCUAUACUUUUGGCCCUUUAAAGUUUAAAUCCCACUAUAUCAGUCAUUCCACCAUCAAACCUGAAAAAUCGCCAUGAAGUUGCAGAGAGGACAGGGAGGAGAGAGAGAGAGAGAGA
rnacentral:misc_RNA from 1 species